rnacentral:rRNA from 1 species
UGGGGAAUCUUCCGCAAUGGCGAAAGUCUGACGGAGCAACGCCGCGUGAGUGAUGAAGGAUUUCGGUCUGUAAAGCUCUGUUGUUUAAUGACGAACGUGCAGUGUGUGAACAAUGCAUUGCAAUGACGGUAGUAACG